GGCUUACACAUGCAAGUCGAGUCGCCCGCAAGGGGGAGCGCGGCUAGACGGGACGCAGUAACACGUAGGCGAACGUACCCCUUUAGUGUUUCUGUGAACAACCCAAGUGUAAACUUGGGUGCCUAAAUACCGUGCAUAAUGAUCCAGCAAGGAGGUAAACGACUUUAUUCGGCUCAAAGGAUCGGACCCGUCGUCUGAUUAGCUAUUUGGCUGCAGCGUUAAUGGCUCACCCAAGGCGACGAUCCAGUAGACUGGUCUGAGAGGAUGAUCAGGCUCACUGGGACUCGAGACACGGUCCUAGAACUCCUCUCAUACGGGAGGCAGCAGUGGGGAAUAUUGGACAAUGGGCGCAAGCCUGAUCCAGCCAUGCCGCGUGGGUGAUGAAGGCCCUAGGGUUGUAAAGCCCUUUCGGCGGGGAAGAUAAUGACGGUACCCGCAGAAGAAGCCCCGGUAACUUCGUGCCAGCAGCCGCGGUAAUACGAAGGGGGCUAGCGUUGCUCGGAAUCACUGGGCGUAAAGCGCACGUAGGCGGAUUGUUAAGUCAGGGGUGAAAUCCUGGAGCUCAACUCCAGAACUGCCUUUGAUACUGACGGUCUUGAGUCCGGGGAGAGGUGAGUGGAACUGCGAGUGUAGAGGUGAAAUUCGUAGAUUUCGCAAGAACACCAGUUGGGCGAAAGGCGGCUCACUGGCCCGGUACUUGACGGCUGAGGUGCGAAAAGCGUUGGGGGAGCAAACCAGGGAUUAGAUACCCUGGUAGUCCACGCCGUAAACGAUGGAUGCUA
rnacentral:rRNA from 1 species